rnacentral:lncRNA from 1 species
UGGAAUUUGCUCAUGUGCCACCACAUUGGCUUGACGAUUGAUCUUUCUGAUCUUAAAUUAUUGAAUAGCCUCAUGAUCCAGUGAUUCCUUCUUCGCCAGUCAAUAGGCAUGCAGCGUGUUAAGAUUUUCAUUUGCAAGGAAGCCACCAUCACCAAAAUAAUGUACUUAUGAAUGAAAGGUCAGAGGUGACACCAAUACAUGUUGAAAAACAAUUCUGAAAAUAAGGAAUUAAACCGAAAUUAACAAACUUGUUGCUUUUGGCCAAAUACGGCAAUUUCGGUCAACAAGAAAAUGUUUUAAAGUUUGAAAAUAUAAUCCAUGCAUAACAUACAAAGCCACUAAUAGCCCCAAACUUUGUGGGGGCGACGUUGUUCAGUUCCUCGUGCCGUGCAGGUUCCUGCAGCGUGGCCGCGGGUGCAGGUCCUCAGGAUGUGGCUGCGAAAGUGCCGGCGGCGGUGGCUGAGUGUAGANNNN